GACGCCGCCACCGCUGUCCCUUCGCUCGGCCUCCUCUCAAACAUCACUGAAAAAUUCUUCACCAAAACUGUGGUCGCUCUCACAGAAUUUGUGGACAAUGAGAAUUGCAAGAUGAAGACGUUCAGUCAGCUAUCGGAGGGAGAUAUAGAGUUUGUGAAGGAGGUAUUAUCUUUAGCAGAAACCAUAUCGUUGCGAGACAUGUUCAUGUCGAAAUACCGUAUUCUGCUGUGGAAACUAGAUCGUGUCGUAAAGGAGGCGUUGAAAACGUGUGAAUUGACUUACACCGUCGUUGAGAA